GCGCCCGUGGCUCAGUUGGAUAGAGCAACUGGCUACGAACCAGUAGGUCGGGAGUUCGAAUCUCUCCGGGCGCACCA
rnacentral:tRNA from 1 species